GAUGAACGCUGGCGGCGUGCCUAAUACAUGCAAGUCGAGCGAACGGACGAGAAGCUUGCUUCUCUGAUGUUAGCGGCGGACGGGUGAGUAACACGUGGAUAACCUACCUAUAAGACUGGGAUAACUUCGGGAAACCGGAGCUAAUACCGGAUAAUAUUUUGAACCGCAUGGUUCAAAAGUGAAAGACGGUCUUGCUGUCACUUAUAGAUGGAUCCGCGCUGCAUUAGCUAGUUGGUAAGGUAACGGCUUACCAAGGCAACGAUGCAUAGCCGACCUGAGAGGGUGAUCGGCCACACUGGAACUGAGACACGGUCCAGACUCCUACGGGAGGCAGCAGUAGGGAAUCUUCCGCAAUGGGCGAAAGCCUGACGGAGCAACGCCGCGUGAGUGAUGAAAGUCUUCGGAUCGUAAAACUCUGUUAUUAGGGAAGAACAUAUGUGUAAGUAACUGUGCACAUCUUGACGGUACCUAAUCAGAAAGCCACGGCUAACUACGUGCCAGCAGCCGCGGUAAUACGUAGGUGGCAAGCGUUAUCCGGAAUUAUUGGGCGUAGCGCGCGUAGGCGGUUUUUUAGUCUGAUGUGAAAGCCCACGGCUCAACCGUGGAGGGUCAUUGGAAACUGGAAAACUUGAGUGCAGAAGAGGAAAGUGGAAUUCCAUGUGUAGCGGUGAAAUGCGCAGAGAUAUGGAGGAACACCAGUGGCGAAGGCGACUUUCUGGUCUGUAACUGACGCUGAUGUGCGAAAGCGUGGGGAUCAAACAGGAUUAGAUACCCUGGUAGUCCACGCCGUAAACGAUGAGUGCUAAGUGUUAGGGGGUUUCCGCCCCUUAGUGCUGCAGCUAACGCAUUAAGCACUCCGCCUGGGGAGUACGACCGCAAGGUUGAAACUCAAAGGAAUUGACGGGGACCCGCACAAGCGGUGGAGCAUGUGGUUUAAUUCGAAGCAACGCGAAGAACCUUACCAAAUCUUGACAUCCUUUGACAACUCUAGAGAUAGAGCCUUCCCCUUCGGGGGACAAAGUGACAGGUGGUGCAUGGUUGUCGUCAGCUCGUGUCGUGAGAUGUUGGGUUAAGUCCCGCAACGAGCGCAACCCUUAAGCUUAGUUGCCAUCAUUAAGUUGGGCACUCUAAGUUGACUGCCGGUGACAAACCGGAGGAAGGUGGGGAUGACGUCAAAUCAUCAUGCCCCUUAUGAUUUGGGCUACACACGUGCUACAAUGGACAAUACAAAGGGCAGCGAAACCGCGAGGUCAAGCAAAUCCCAUAAAGUUGUUCUCAGUUCGGAUUGUAGUCUGCAACUCGACUACAUGAAGCUGGAAUCGCUAGUAAUCGUAGAUCAGCAUGCUACGGUGAAUACGUUCCCGGGUCU
rnacentral:rRNA from 1 species